rnacentral:snoRNA from 12 species
ACCUGCAUUCGAAAGUGAUCACGGGCUGCCUGUGCCCUGGUCAUUGAUAGUGCAGGGAGAGCAACUGCCAAAAGCGUUUCCCCGUGUUUGGAGGGUCUCCCCUGUCCCUUCUGAACCCUGAAGCUUUCUCACA